UACAGAGGGUGCAAGCGUUGUUCGGAAUUACUGGGCGUAAAGGGCUCGUAGGUGGCCAACUAAGUCAGACGUGAAAUCCCUCGGCUUAACCGGGGAACUGCGUCUGAUACUGGAUGGCUUGAGUUCGGGAGAGGGAUGCGGAAUUCCAGGUGUAGCGGUGAAAUGCGUAGAUAUCUGGAGGAACACCGGUGGCGAAGGCGGCAUCCUGGACCGGCAUUGACGCUGAGGCGCGAAAGCCAGGGGAGCAAACGGG
rnacentral:rRNA from 1 species